UGCAGUCGAGCGGCAGCACGGGUACUUGUACCUGGUGGCGAGCGGCGGACGGGUGAGUAAUGCCUAGGAAUCUGCCUGGUAGUGGGGGAUAACGUUCGGAAACGAACGCUAAUACCGCAUACGUCCUACGGGAGAAAGCAGGGGACCUUCGGGCCUUGCGCUAUCAGAUGAGCCUAGGUCGGAUUAGCUAGUUGGUGAGGUAAUGGCUCACCAAGGCGACGAUCCGUAACUGGUCUGAGAGGAUGAUCAGUCACACUGGAACUGAGACACGGUCCAGACUCCUACGGGAGGCAGCAGUGGGGAAUAUUGGACAAUGGGCGAAAGCCUGAUCCAGCCAUGCCGCGUGUGUGAAGAAGGUCUUCGGAUUGUAAAGCACUUUAAGUUGGGAGGAAGGGCAGUUACCUAAUACGUGAUUGUUUUGACGUUACCGACAGAAUAAGCACCGGCUAACUCUGUGCCAGCAGCCGCGGUAAUACAGAGGGUGCAAGCGUUAAUCGGAAUUACUGGGCGUAAAGCGCGCGUAGGUGGUUCGUUAAGUUGGAUGUGAAAUCCCCGGGCUCAACCUGGGAACUGCAUUCAAAACUGUCGAGCUAGAGUAUGGUAGAGGGUGGUGGAAUUUCCUGUGUAGCGGUGAAAUGCGUAGAUAUAGGAAGGAACACCAGUGGCGAAUGCGA
rnacentral:rRNA from 1 species